rnacentral:misc_RNA from 1 species
UUGUUCGAUUUACUCGUUUACUCCGACGCAGAGAUGCAGGGUUGGGUCCCCCGGGGGCGCCGGCGCCGCGGACGGCGGGGUCGCCCCCGAAGCAACGCGAUGCGUUCACACAGGGUUGGAGGUCGGGCCGCGAGGGCCCUCACUCGGUAAUGAUCCCUCCGCAGGUUCACCUACGGAGA